rnacentral:rRNA from 1 species
GAUGAACGCUGGCGGCGUGCCUAAUACAUGCAAGUCGAGCGAACAGACGAGGAGCUUGCUCCUCUGACGGUAGCGGCGGACGGGUGAGUAAUACGUGGAUAACCUACCUAUAAGACUGGGAUAACUUCGGGAAACCGGAGCUAAUACCGGAUAAUAUAUUGAACCGCAUGGUUCAAUAGUGAAAGACGGUUUUGCUGUCACUGAUAGAUGGAUCCGCGCCGCAUUAGCUAGUUGGUAAGGUAACGGCUUACCAAGGCAACGAUGCGUAGCCGACCUGAGAGGGUGAUCGGCCACACUGGAACUGAGACACGGUCCAGACUCCUACGGGAGGCAGCAGUAGGGAAUCUUCCGCAAUGGGCGAAAGCCUGACGGAGCAACGCCGCGUGAGUGAUGAAGGUCUUCGGAUCGUAAAACUCUGUUAUUAGGGAAGAACAAAUGUGUAAGUAACUAUGCACGUCUUGACGGUACCUAAUCAGAAAGCCACGGCUAACUACGUG